GACGAACGCUGGCGGCGUGCUUAACACAUGCAAGUCGAACGGAAAGGCCUGCUUUCCCUUGUGGAUUGCGGGUACUCGAGUGGCGAACGGGUGAGUAACGCGUGAGUGAUCUGCCCCCAACUUGGGUAUAAGCCUGGGAAACUGGGUCUAAUUCCCGAUAGGACUGCAGGGUGGUGCCUGUGGUGGAAAACGAUUUUCUAGUGGUUGGGGAUGAGCUCGCGGCCUAUCAGCUUGUUGGUGGGGUAAUGGCCUACCAAGGCGGCGACGGGUAGCCGGCCUGAGAGGGUGGACGGCCACAUUGGGACUGAGAUACGGCCCAGACUCCUACGGGAGGCAGCAGUGGGGAAUAUUGCACAAUGGGCGGAAGCCUGAGGCAGCGACGCCGCGUGGGGGAUGACGGCCUUCGGGUUGUAAACUCCUUUCGACCGCGAGGAAGCCACCUGGUUGGAAGGGUGGUGACGGUAGUGGUAGAAGAAGCACCGGCUAACUACGUG
rnacentral:rRNA from 1 species